rnacentral:rRNA from 1 species
CAGUAGCCACGGUAAAACGUAGGGGGCAAGCGUUAUCCGAAAUUACUGGGUGUAAAGGGAGCGUAGACGGUUAAACAAGUCUGAAGUGAAAUGCCGGGGCUCAACCCCGGAGCUGCUUUGGGAACUGUAGAACUGGAGUGUCGGAGGGGUAAGCGGAAUUCCCAGUGUAGCGGUGAAAUGCGUAGAUAUAUGGAGGAACACCGGCGGCGAAGGCGGCUUACUGGACGACAACUGACGUUGAGGCUCGAAGGCGUGGGUAGCAAACAGGAUUAGAUACCCCCGUAGUCCCUGUCUCUUAUAU